UCAAACAUAACCUUGGGUACAGUUGAA
rnacentral:piRNA from 1 species